AUGUUGUCUACUCAAACUGUGAGCUCCUUGAAGCCUACAGAUACUCAUCAAGCACCCCGUUCCUGCCAGACACAGCUUCCACGUGGUCUGUUUUUCAGUUCAGCACUGACACAGCAGCUAGAGCUAUGGCUUGGAUCAUGUCACACUCCUGCUCCCAGACCUUCAGGGCUCCAGCUCAAGGCAGGAAGAACUGGGACCUGGAAUGAAGCCAGCUGUGGGGCCAGAGAGGCUGGCUCAGCUGGGCAGAGGACACAGCCAGGCAGCUCCGUGGGACUGAUCAUAGGUGGAAGGUCUUGGAAGGAGUCACCACACUCAGGGAAGAUUCAAGACCUAGAGGUCAGAGGGAGGACUCAGUCCCCAGGGAGGGGCCCGCAAAUGAAUGGAGGGCCCUGCCCAGAAGACCUGACUCCUAGCCUGAGCAGGGCAAGUUGACCGGGAGCAGGGCAGGGCGGGGUCCUUAUGUAAGCAAGCAGAAAAGGGGGUGCACCAGGGCUGGCUUGCUGUCGUGUCCAGCAGAGUAAAUGUGCUUAGGGGCAAGAGGGGUCCUGAGCCCAGAAGAGACACCUUGGACCUCUUCUGAAGGGGGCCCCUGGGCAAGGCUGGGGGCAGACGGCCUGACAAUCUCUGCAGCCCUUGCCGCACCUACACAGGGCCUUUACCCCGCCCAAGGCUGGCCGGAGGCUCCUCUGUGCCCCGGGCUGCUGCCUUUCCAGGGCCUGGGCGUGCUCCUCAGCCCGUCUGCCCCACCUCUUCACUGCCUGAAGCCUACUUAACCUUCAAGACUAAGUGCAAAGGCAGCAUGCUUUUUUCUCUUCCCCUUUCUAGGCCUUCCCAGUCUGCUUUUCUAUACAGCAGACUAAGUCUUGUGAUACUUGCUGCAUGCCUCUAUUAAAACACUUCGUUUUACAUGGUGUAUUAGUUUCCUGGAACUGCCAUAACAAAGCAUCACAUGCUUGGUGGCUUCAAACAACAGAAAUUUAUUAUCUCACAGUUCUGGAGGCCGGAAGGCUGAAAUCAAGGCUCCCUUGGAAAUCCUCUGGAGAAGAUCCUUCCUCACCUUCUCUGGCUUCUGGCAAGCCCGGGCACUCCUUGGCCUGUGGCCACAUCAUCCAGGCCCUUCCUGCUCAUCACAUGGCUGCUUUCUCUCUGUGUCUCUUUUCUUCUUAUAGGAACACCAGUUAUGUUGGAUUAAGGGUUCACCCUACUUCGAACUGACCUUAUUUUACCUUAAUUAUAUCUGUAAUUACCCUAUUUCCAAAUAAGCUCAAAUUCUGAGGUACUGGGGAUUAGGACUUCAUUUUUUUUUUUUUUUUAAGAUUUUAUCCUUUUAUUUGAGAGAGAGAAAGAAAUCACACAUGAGCAGGGGGAGGCAGAGGGAGAGGGAGAAGUAGACUCCUUGCUGAGCAAGGAGCCUGGUGCGGGGCUCGGUCCU
rnacentral:lncRNA from 12 species